UGUCAGGAGUUGGGGUUUUUUGUUUUGCCUUUUUUGUUUUUUUUUCAUUCCUAUGGCUUGCCAUCGCCACCAGAUGGCACCAUGGAGGCUAGGAUAGGAGGACUGAAGGGCUGACGUCACCGUCACACCGGUUCCCAAUCCACUCGUCAGCGGGACUUCAAGAGACGGCGACUGCCAGCAUACCAACGCUUGAGUGUUAGCCAGUAAUGCUGUUCCUGCAACGUCAAGUCUGGCUGUAGUCCCGAGUUUCCCUUGCGACGCCGUCUGGAUCCUAUUACCUGUCCGCCCUCCACCGCAGCACAACCUCCACCUCCAGCGCCUCCACACCUGGCCACACCGUUGUUUAUUCUCCUCCCCGAGUAAGCAUACAACUUUAGAGCUCUGGAAAAUCCCCACGGUCCCUGAACUCACCUCCCGAUCUGUUGUUGUUCCCAGAAGUCCUGACUUACCUGUCUGUCGCCGUCCCUUCGAUGACUGAGAGCCUACCCUGGAAAUCUUUUGUAAAUAAAUCACUUUAACUGAU